GUGAGGUAAUGGCUCACCAAGGCUAAGACGGGUAGCCGGACUGAGAGGUUGAACGGCCACACUGGAACUGAGACACGGUCCAGACUCCUACGGGAGGCAGCAGUGGGGAAUUUUGCGCAAUGGGCGAAAGCCUGACGCAGCGACGCCGCGUGGGGGAAGAAGGCCUUCGGGUUGUAAACUCCUUUCGUGAGGGAAAAAGUCCCGAGCAAUCGGGAUGAUGGUACCUCAAGAAGAAGCCACGGCUAACUCUGUGCCAGCAGCCGCGGUAGGACAGAGGUGGCAAGCGUUGUUCGGAUUUACUGGGCUUAAAGGGCGUGUAGGCGUCCUGAUAAGUCAGAUGUGGAAGCCUUGGGCUUAACCCAAGAAUUGCAUUUGAAACUGUCGGGAUUGAGUCGUGCAUGGGAGGGCGGAAUUCCUGGUGUAGCGGUGAAAUGCGUAGAUAUCAGGAGGAAGGCCGGUGGUGAAGACGGCCCUCUGGGCAAUGACUGACGCUGAGGCGCGAAAGCGUGGGUAGCAAACAGGAUUAGAUACCCUGGUAGUCCACGCCCUAAACGGUGGGUACUAGGUGUGGGUGUCGAUAGGCAUCCGUGCCAAAGGUAAACCGUUAAGUA
rnacentral:rRNA from 1 species